rnacentral:sRNA from 2 species
CCUCCUAUCGCGCCGAGCUCCAUCCAGUAGGCAGGGGACACCGAAGUGGAUGGAGACGGGGGACCCACCGGUCCACCGUGAUCGGACCGGGGCCGCUUGCGGCCCCUUGGGGUGAAGCCGACGUCGCUCCCAUGCGGAAGACGCCGGCCGGGUGGCCUCUCCAACCCGAACCCGACAGCUGACCUCGCAGGCGCCUUACGAGAGAGGAA